rnacentral:lncRNA from 1 species
UUUCUUACUGGGCUAGUUGAGCUCACCCUUUCUUUCACUGUUCUCUUCAGGAAAUGAGAAUAUAGCUGGAACGAGUCAAGGACCGGAGUGAUGGUCUUAGAUGGUGCAUUAGUAGUCCUCACUAUUCUAUGAAAUAGUGUGAUAAUAAUUGUAAUGAGGACUCCUUUUGAGUUUGUAUACUCUCUAGUAGACAAUAUUUGUAUUCAAACUCACAGUUUAUGUUUUGUCGUAUUGUACAUGACAGUUGUAUUAUUAAGUUGUAUUUGAAUUUUGUACCAUGUAUCUGGCGACUCAAGAUGGGUGAUAUAUACCUAAUUUUGG